rnacentral:lncRNA from 1 species
GUUAUAAUACUAAAUUGGUUUGUUCAAAAAAUAAUAUGUUUGAAUUGGUUUGGAUAACCAUUGGUUUAUAUGGUUCAUGCUAUAAAUAAUUGAGAAUCAUUAAUUAAUAUUUGCAAUAUAAUCUUUGAUUGGUUUGAUUGUUUGGUUUUAAAAUCUUUGAGCACUAAAGAACUUGAUAUCAUUAAUAAUCAUCAACGCUUGUCUAU